GACGAACGCUGGCGGCGUGCUUAACACAUGCAAGUCGAACGAAGAGCGAUGGAAGCUUGCUUCUAUCAAUCUUAGUGGCGAACGGGUGAGUAACGCGUAAUCAACCUGCCCUUCAGAGGGGGACAACAGUUGGAAACGACUGCUAAUACCGCAUACGAUCCAAUCUCGGCAUCGAGGAUGGAUGAAAGGUGGCCUCUAUUUAUAAGCUAUCACUGAAGGAGGGGAUUGCGUCUGAUUAGCUAGUUGGAGGGGUAACGGCCCACCAAGGCGAUGAUCAGUAGCCGGUCUGAGAGGAUGAACGGCCACAUUGGGACUGAGACACGGCCCAG
rnacentral:rRNA from 1 species